AUAAUUUGUCUUUCCCCUGCAAAAGCGAAAGAGAUUUGUUAGACUCAUCAAAGGCUUGAUUGAGUUGAAGAAUUAGAAGACGGUUAUCCAGUUUUUUGAGAUCCAACGAAAAAUUUCGUGUAGAAGGAUGGCGUGGAUGAUCGGAGAGCCGUUGGUGUCGAAGCUGGCCGUGUUGUCCAAGUAUUUUGUUUUGCCGGCAGCAAUGGCCGCCGCCGUGAUCUACUCUCCUCCCGAUUUCGCUACUGAAAAGCCUAAAUCCUCUUCCUCAUCUUCUUCCUAGUGAUUGCGAUCGUUUAAAUAUGCCUAUUUUUAGCCAUCUGGUAAUCUGCUGUAUUGCAAUGAAAAAUGGUAUGGAAUAAUAAUGGGGCAACUUCUUCUGUACUGAACUUUUGGACAUUAUUAAAUCUUAAUGUUCUUACUCUCUGAACAAGUUUGUGUUGACACUUGAGUUCAGGAAAAAAAUUUACAAAGCGCGAAAAUAAAAUAGGACUUAUUGUUUUUUCUAUUCAA